CCCACCUGACUCCAUUCCGAACUCAGAAGUGAAACGAAAUAGCGCCGAUGGUAGUGUGGGGUUUCCCCAUGUGAGAGUAGGACAUCGCCAGGU
rnacentral:rRNA from 1 species